rnacentral:rRNA from 1 species
CCCGGGGAUCCGAUUAGAGUUUGAUCCUGGCUCAGAGCGAACGCUGGCGGCAGGCUUAACACAUGCAAGUCGAACGGGCGUAGCAAUACGUCAGUGGCAGACGGGUGAGUAACGCGUGGGAACGUACCUUUUGGUUCAGAACAACUGAGGGAAACUUCAGCUAAUACCGGAUAAGCCCUUACGGGGAAAGAUUUAUCGCCGAAAGAUCGGCCCGCGUCUGAUUAGCUAGUUGGUGAGGUAAUGGCUCACCAAGGCGACGAUCAGUAGCUGGUCUGAGAGGAUGAUCAGCCACAUUGGGACUGAGACACGGCCCAAACUCCUACGGGAGGCAGCAGUGGGGAAUAUUGGACAAUGGGCGAAAGCCUGAUCCAGCCAUGCCGCGUGAGUGAUGAAGGCCCUAGGGUUGUAAAGCUCUUUUGUGCGGGAAGAUAAUGACGGUACCGCAAGAAUAAGCCCCGGCUAACUUCGUGCCAGCAGCCGCGGUAAUACGAAGGGGGCUAGCGUUGCUCGGAAUCACUGGGCGUAAAGGGUGCGUAGGCGGGUUUCUAAGUCAGAGGUGAAAGCCUGGAGCUCAACUCCAGAACUGCCUUUGAUACUGGAAGUCUUGAGUAUGGCAGAGGUGAGUGGAACUGCGAGUGUAGAGGUGAAAUUCGUAGAUAUUCGCAAGAACACCAGUGGCGAAGGCGGCUCACUGGGCCAUUACUGACGCUGAGCACGAAGCGUGGGAGCAACAGAUUAGAUACCCUGUAGUCACGCCGUAAACGAUGAUGCCAGCCGUUAGUGGUUUUACUCACUAGUGGCGCAGCUAACGCUUAAGCAUCCGCCUGGGGAGUACGGUCGCAAGAUUAAACUCAAAGGAAUUGACGGGGGCCCGCACAAGCGGUGGAGCAUGUGGUUUAAUUCGACGCAACGCGCAGAACCUUACCAGCCCUUGACAUGUCCAGGACCGGUCGCAGAGACGUGACCUUCUCUUCGGAGCCUGGAGCACAGGUGCUGCAUGGCUGUCGUCAGCUCGUGUCGUGAGAUGUUGGGUUAAGUCCCGCAACGAGCGCAACCCCCGUCCUUAGUUGCUACCAUUUAGUUGAGCACUCUAAGGAGACUGCCGGUGAUAAGCCGCGAGGAAGGUGGGGAUGACGUCAAGUCCUCAUGGCCCUUACGGGCUGGGCUACACACGUGCUACAAUGGCGGUGACAAUGGGAAGCUAAGGGGCGACCCUUCGCAAAUCUCAAAAAGCCGUCUCAGUUCGGAUUGGGCUCUGCAACUCGAGCCCAUGAAGUUGGAAUCGCUAGUAAUCGUGAAUCAGCAUGCCACGGUGAAUACGUUCCCGGGCCUUGUACACACCGCCCGUCACACCAUGGGAGUUGGCUUUACCUGAAGACGGUGCGCUAACCAGCAAUGGAGGCAGCCGGCCACGGUAGGGUCAGCGACUGGGGUGAAGUCGUAACAAGGUAGCCGUAGGGGAACCUGCGGCUGGAUCACCUCCUUU